UUUGGCACUCGUGUUCUUUCAGUUGUGCAAUUCUCCUGACAUUCAGAAACAUCAUUAAUUAGUUACAAAGGAUUCGUAACAACAAAUCCAUCCACAUACAGAAGUUACCAAAUAACUCUAAUUCAUCCUAUGCUCAAGGUAGCAAAAGUAUAGCACAAGCAGCACCCACUAAAACUAUAGCUAUGAUAGCCAUGUUGCCUUGCUGUCCAUAUUAGCAUUACCUUUGUAUUCAGCUGCUGCUCAUUAAGCAGACACAAAUAUAGUUUUUUUAUUUUUUAUUUUUUAAAUUUUGGGUUGUGCUUCGAUUGGGUUUUCCUAGUUUGCAUCAUCAGAAUAUGAUUUCCAUUUUCUUGCUGAAUCCGUGAUCUAACUUGUAUUUAGUGAAAGGUAAGGAUGUUAGAGCAGUUGCUUAUUUUCACUAGAGGAGGAUUAAUCCUCUGGACAUGUAAAGAGCUUGGAAAUGCUCUUAAAGGAUCGCCAAUUGACACUUUGAUUCGAUCUUGUCUUUUGGAGGAACGAUCUGGUGCAGCAUCUUACAACUAUGAUGCUCCUGGUGCUGCAUACACCCUCAAAUGGACUUUCCAUAACGACCUUGGCCUCGUGUUUGUUGCUGUGUAUCAGCGGAUCCUCCAUCUACUGUAUGUUGAUGAACUGCUUGCAAUGGCCAAGCGUGAGUUUUCUGAAAUUUAUGAUCCUAAGCGAAUGAACUACAAUGAUUUUGAUGAAACUUUUAGGCAGCUUAGGAAAGAGGCAGAAGCCCGAGCUGAAGAAUUGAAGAAAUCCAAACACGUGGGUAAGCCUGUAAAUGAUGGUAAGAAACAAGGGCAAGUGAAAAAAGGUGGGUUUGAAGUAGGAAAUAAGAAAAAGAGUGAAGCAAAUGAUGGUGGUGAUGGUGAUACUGGAAAAAGCUAUAAAUUGGAGAAUGGACACUCCAAUGGUAAUCAUGUUAAUAUUGAAGGGUCUAGGGCAGUUGUCGCUAACAGUAAAGAAAAUGCGAGCUCCAAUGUUGGAGCUUUUGAUGUAAGCAAGCUUCAGAAGCUUAGAAGUAAAGGUGAAAAGAAAACUGAUACUGUUGUUAACAAGGGUUCCAAGGUGCACCCAAAGAAAAAGAUAACAAAAAAGAAUAGGGUUUGGGACGAUUCACCUCAAGAGUCGAAAUUGGAUUUUACAGAUCCUCUGGAGGAGAACGUGAAUGAGAAUAUAGAGGUUGUGGGAACUGAUCAUGGUGAAAGCAUGAUGGACAAAGAAGAGAUUAUUAGUAGUGACAGUGAGGAUGAAAGUGAGGAAGUGGGGAAAGAGAGCAAGCCUGAUACUAAGAAGAAGGGAUGGUUUUCAUCUAUGUUUCAGAGUAUUGCAGGAAAGGCAAAUUUGGAGAAGUCGGAUCUGGAACCAGCUCUAAAAGCUCUCAAGGAUAGGUUGAUGACCAAAAAUGUGGCCGAGGAGAUAGCUGAGAAGCUUUGUGAAUCAGUUGCGGCCAGUCUUGAAGGUAAAAAGCAGGCAUCUUUCACGAGGAUAUCUUCAACAGUGCAGGCUGCAAUGGAAGAAGCUCUUGUUCGUAUAUUGACUCCUAGGCGCUCUAUUGACAUAUUGAGGGAUGUACAUGCUGCCAAGGAACAUAGGAAACCGUAUGUUGUUGUUUUUGUUGGUGUCAAUGGGGUUGGAAAGUCUACUAAUCUAGCUAAGGUAGCAUACUGGCUCCUGCAGCAUGAGAUCAGUGUUAUGAUGGCUGCUUGUGAUACAUUCCGCUCAGGAGCUGUUGAGCAGCUGCGCACUCAUGCACGUAGACUUCAGAUACCUAUAUUUGAAAAGGGCUAUGAGAAAGAUCCUGCCAUUGUAGCAAAGGAAGCAAUUCAAGAGGCAGCACGCAAUGGUUCUGAUGUGGUUCUUGUUGAUACUGCUGGUCGGAUGCAGGAUAAUGAACCGUUAAUGAGAGCUCUCUCAAAGCUCGUUUACCUCAACAAUCCAGAUUUGGUCUUGUUUGUUGGAGAGGCAUUGGUUGGAAAUGAUGCCGUUGAUCAACUAUCAAAGUUCAAUCAGAAAUUAGCUGACCUCUCUACUUCACCCAGUCCAAGACUAAUAGAUGGGAUUCUUCUUACAAAGUUUGAUACAAUUGAUGACAAGGUUGGAGCAGCACUGUCAAUGGUUUACAUCUCCGGUGCACCAGUCAUGUUUGUUGGCUGCGGACAAUCUUAUACGGAUCUCAAAAAGCUGAACGUGAAAUCUAUUGUCAAGACACUCCUUAAAUGAGUGGCGUCUCUUCUUUAACCCAUGUUUGAUGGGUGAAAAUGCUGUUCUUUCCCUUUUGCAUG
rnacentral:misc_RNA from 1 species